CAUCUGUCAUCACAAGAGGCACCUGCUUCUACAUAAGCACUGCCAUACAGUCCUUCACAGAUGCUUGGAUGAAGGGUUUGGGCUCCGGAGCUGCCUCUGUUUCUGCCACAUGGCCUCUGCAUCAGACAGCUUAAAACACGGCAUCUUGAGAUCCAGGUGUUGCCAGGACAAACAAAUGAGAAUAUUAUGGAGACGUUCUAGACCAAGCGGGAAAGACCAUGAAACACAAAGGAGCCAGGCUUUGACAAUUCUCAUACUUGGGCCAGCAAGAUGGCUCAGCAGGUCAAGGAGCUUGCCAACAAACGUGAUGAGCCGAGUUCAAUCCCUGAACCCCACAUGAUGGAAGAAGUGAACGGAUUCCCACAAGCUGUCCUCUGGCUUCCACAUGUG